CAGCAGCCGCGGUAAAACGUAGGGUGCAAGCGUUAAUCGGAAUUACUGGGCGUAAAGCGUGCGCAGGCGGUUAUAUAAGACAGAUGUGAAAUCCCCGGGCUCAACCUGGGAACUGCAUUUGUGACUGUAUAGCUAGAGUACGGCAGAGGGGGAUGGAAUUCCGCGUGUAGCAGUGAAAUGCGUAGAUAUGCGGAGGAACACCGAUGGCGAAGGCAAUCCCCUGGGCCUGUACUGACGCUCAUGCACGAAAGCGUGGGGAGCAAACAGGAUUAGAUACCCCUGUAGUCCCUGUCUCUUAUAA
rnacentral:rRNA from 1 species